rnacentral:lncRNA from 1 species
CCCCCCCCCCCCCCCCCCCCCCCCCCCCCCCCCCCCCCCCCCCCCCCCCCCCCCCCCCCCCCCCCCCCCCCCCCCCCCCCCCCCCCCCCCCCCCCCCCCCCCCCCCCCCCCCAAAAUCGGGCAAAAAGCGGCAAAAAGGGACAAAAUCGGGCAAAAAGCGGCAAAAUCGGGCAAAAAAGGGACGAAAAGGAUAAACCGGGACCACCUGGACCGGGAAGGGACAAACCAGGACCACCCGAGACAAACCGGGACAAGCAGGAAGGACCGGGACUACCCAGAGACCACCCGGGACAAACCGGGACCACCCGGGACAAAGCGGAACCGGUUUUUCCCGUUCCAUCCCGUUCCCUCCCGCUCUCUCCCGGUCUCUUUCUCCCAUUCCAUCCCGUUCCAUCCCACUCUGUCCCGCUCCCUCCCAGUUUAUCCCGGUCUCUCCCGGUUUAUCCCGGUCUCUCCCGGUUUAUCCCUGUCUCUCCCGGUCUCUCCCGUUCCGUCCCGCUCUCUGUCGGUCUCUUUCUCCCGUUCCAUCCCGUUCCAUCCCGUUCCGUCCCGUUCCAUCCCGUUCCAUCCCGUUCCGUCCCGUUCCAUCCCGUUCCAUCCCGUUCCGUCCCGCUCUCUGUCGGUCUUUUUCUCCCGUUCCAUCCCGUUCCGUCCCGUUCCGUCCCGUUCCAUCCCGUUCCAUCCCGUUCCGUCCCGCUCUCUCCCGGUCUCUUUCUCCCGUCCCGUCCCGUCCCGUUCCGUCCCGUUCCCAGUUGGUCCCGCUCCCUCCCAGUUGGUCCCGCUCCGCUCCGGCCCGGGAUGCCGCGCCCCGCGCCGCUCUGCCCCGCGCUGCUGCUGGCCGCGCUGUGCCCCGCGCUCGCCCUGCACUCGUGCCGCACGCUGGACCUGGAGGCGGCGCGGCUGAAGCGCAUCGAGGCCGUGCGGGGGCAGAUCCUGAGCAAGCUGCGGCUGGGGGCGGCCCCCCCCCCCCCCCCCCCCCCCCCCCCCCCCCCCCCCCCCCCCCCCCCCCCCCCCCCCCCCCCCCCCCCCCCCCCCCCCCCCCCCCCCCCCCCCCCCCCCCCCCCCCCCCCCCC